AUACUUACCUGUCAGGAGAGAUACCAUGAUCAAGAAAGUGGUAUACCCAGUGUGAGGCCCAGCCAUGGCACUCCAGCGGGCUGACCUGUGCGAAUUUCCCAAAUGUUGGAAUCUCGACUGCCGAGGUGC
rnacentral:snRNA from 1 species